GACGAACGCUGGCGGCGUGCUUAACACAUGCAAGUCGAACGGAAAGGCCCUGCUUUUGUGGGGUGCUCGAGUGGCGAACGGGUGCGUAACACGUGAGUAACCUGCCCUUGACUUUGGUAUAACUUCAGGAAACUGGGGCUAAUACCGGAUAGGAGCUCCUGCUGCAUGGUGGGGGUUGGAAAGUUUCGGCGGUUGGGGAUGGACUCGCGGCUUAUGAGCUUGUUGGUUGGGUAGUGGCUUACCAAGGCUUUGACGGGUAGCCGGCCUGAGAGGGUGACCGGCGACAUUGGGACUGAGAGACGGACCAGACGCCUACGGGAGGCAGCAGUGGGGAAUAUUGCACAAUGGGCGGAAGCGUGAUGCAGAAACGCCGCGUGCGGGAUGACGGCCUUCGGGUUGUAAACCGCUUUCGCCUGUGACGAAGCGUGAGUGACGGUAAUGGGUAAAGAAGCACCGGCUAACUACGUG
rnacentral:rRNA from 1 species